rnacentral:lncRNA from 1 species
CCCAAGUGCUGGUAUGGUGUUUGUUAAGCCUGGCCUUUGUGAAGCUCCCUGGGGUCUCCCUAGAAAUGCAAGCACACAGCAGAGUGGAUGAGCGAUGUAACAAGCUGUCCCUCCGUGGGGCACGGAGGUGAAUGCAGUGGUUAUUCUGUCAGCUCUAAUACAGAAAACCCUCUCCAGGAGAAUUCUGCAGUUUUACAAAGUAACACUGGUGCCACUACAAAUGGGACUAGGUACUAUUGGGUCAGUGUGGGAAAGGGUAAAGACUGAAAUGGUUCUAUUUUCAUAAGGUAGAAGAGGAACUCAUAUCCCAAAAGUUUGAAUGGAUUAAGAAAGAUGUACAGAUGAGUGACAGAAAAUACUGAAGCUGUAUGCCUGGGUCAACAUUUUGCUCAUCUGACCCCUUGAUCUCUACCCAUGCUUGUUUGGCUAUCCACAGAGUGAUAGCUUUCCCUUGGGUAUACUAACUUGUGUGUUCUCAAAGCACUAACAAGAUGCUAAUAUAAAAGGGUAGCAACUGAGGCCAGGGUGUUACUCUACCAGGAGCCUAUGAUGACACAUGGACUUCUGACAUGAACUUCUUCAACAGAAGGACUGCCUACCUGAAAAGUCUAGUCACCUAUGCAUGAUAGUAAGCAAACAUAAUAUGCAAAAUAAAGAGGGACACCACCCUGUGCUAACUGGAACAGCAAACUGUCUGUAAGAAGCCACAGCAAUUUGUGGGAAGCUACUUUGCAGGGAUGCUUCCAGCCAUGAAUUGCCGGGUAGUUGUUUUUGGAGCUGAACAUAUCUGGAAGGUUCUUUAGUUCCUGGCAGCUGAAGAGUUAAGACAGACAUCUGCUCAGAGGGACAGGCUCCUCUCCAUGACUGCCUCCUCUUCCUUAGUCAUCUUGGCUUUGCAAUCUUCCUUAACACAUGAACCCCUAAGAUUUGGAUUUCUUUCGCUCCCAGAGGCAAGAUGAAACCUGUGUAUGUUCUCUGGACUACAGAAGCCUCAAACAUAUCCCUUGGGAGACUGCUCUGUCUUCCAGAUACCCAGAAAGCUUUGGUUCUUAAUGAAGGUCCAGAUUACAGACUCAAUCUUCUUAAUAACUUCCUCCUCUACUGUCUUGGCCAUUUAUCUUGCUGGGACAAGAUACCUGACAGAACGGGAGGAUUUAUCUCGGCUCACAGUUCCAGAGUACAGUCCAUCAUGGGGUGGAGGAGGCAUGGAGGUAGGGGCUGAGAAACACUGGUCCUCAAUUGGCUUUCUUUUUCUUUCUUUUUUUCCUAGUCAGCUCAGGACCCCAGCCUAUAGAAUGGUGCUGUGCACAUUCAGGGGGUGGGGGGGCUGCUCUACUUCAACUAACAUAAUCUGGAAACUCAAACUAAUCUCAGAGAUGUGCCCAGAGACUUGUCUUCUAGGUGAUCCUAGACCCUGAUGAGUUAAUAGUCAAUUUUACCAUUGAAAUCACUCAUUUCUUAACUUCUGGUUGGUACCUCCCACCCUUUGUUAACAUUUAUUUUACUUCCAAUUUUGUGUGUGUGUGUGUGUGUGUGUGUGUGUGUGUGUGUGUUUUAGUUUGAAUGAAAAUGGCCCCUAUAGGGUUAUACUAAGGGGCACUAUUAAGAAAUGUGGCCUUGUUAGAAUAGGUGUGGUCUUGGAGAAAGUUUGUCACUGGGGGCGGGGGUGGAGGUGGGGGGUGGACUUUGAGGUUUCAGAAGCCCAAGCCAGGACCAGCAUCACUCUCUCUUCCUGUUGCUUACUUAUUUAGAUGUAGAACUCUCAGAUACCUCUCCAAUACCGUGUCUGCCUGCAUACUUCCAUACUUCUUGCCAUGAUCGUAAUGGACUAAAUCUCUAGACUGUACACCAGCUUCAAUUAAAUGUUUUCCUUUAUAAGAGUUGCCAUGGUCAUAGUAUCUCUUCAUAGCAAUAGAACCCUAACACAGUGUAUGUGUGUUUGUGUGUGUGUGUGUUUACAGGUGCCU